CUCAACAUAGCAACACGACCAACUCCAAAUGCCUGAUCCCAACGGCUCCAACGACACCAGCGAAAACCCGAUUCCAUCAGCCCCAACCCAUUUGUUUUUCUUCACAUGCGUCUCACGCAUCCAUAGGAUGAGAAAAGGAUUCAAAAAUCUUCUAGAAGGUCAAUGAGGUGUCCUAACCAAUGUUCAAAUCUGAAAAAUCUCAGAUGAAUUUGUACGAAUUCGUACAAAGUUGGGUGAGUUUCAUUGGUUUUGGGGGGAUUUCUACUUUUCCCUUUCCUAUUGGUUGAAACGAAUUUAAAAUUUCACCAAGAAUCUAAAAUUUGAACAAGUUUGAGUAACAAAUCAGGUUGUCAACCUGAUCUUCAAUUUGAAUUUUGAAAUCUUUUUUGGCAAAUACCAAGAUUAUCCUUGUGAGAAGCCCAAAACGAACCCUAAUUUUUCUCUAUAAAAGGGGAGUCUUAGGAGCAGAGGAAGGGGGAUUGAUUUUGGUUCAAAGAUUUCUAAGAAAAUUUUGGGUUUUGGUAAAACUGAGAGGGCUAACAGUGAGCUGAAAAGGGGAGGUCAGAAAAGGGUCUAAAAAAAAAAAGAGGGCCUUUGAGCAAAGAAAAAAAUACAGUUUCUUUUAGCUAAAUUUUUAUUUUUUUUGGGGGGAAUUUUGGUCAGUAUUUGGAGUUUCCAAACUAAUGACGACGACGUGUUUAGGUGGUGGAUGAUUCCCACGUAGUUCGAGGUCCCGUUUUGCUAUCCGAAAAGAAGUAAACAUACUAUCAUCCCUUUUAAUCUCAUUGUUUUCUUCUUCAUCCCUUUUCUCCAUAGAAUUAGUUAAUUAGUUGAUAAUAAUCAUGAAUGAGGCUGGCAUUGCUUGCUGUAGAAGUCAUGAAGGCCGUAGGAUUUUGUGUAAUGAUAAUUGAAAUUCGUUGUUUCGUUAUGAUGAAUUUGUAUUCUAUCAGUGGAAACACUUUUGCUUCAAGUGUUAAAAUUUGUUGCCUUUCGUUGAUUUUGCUUGGGAAUAGAACUCUGUGAUUUUAAUUUGUUAUGUUUUUCUUUUUUCUCCUCUCUUGUGCCGUUAUAAGUUGUUUGCAGGAGUAAUAUAGUAUGGGAAAGAUGUCUGCCAUUUGUGUUGGUGAAGGACAUACUAAAAUCCUUUUCAAAACGGGUCAUUUGAUCCUUAAAAUAAUCAGGCUUCUUUAUGAAUAUUUAUUCAACCUUCUGUGAUAAAAUAAAUCGUAGCACGAUUUAGUGGAUACUAUGUCAUGAUAAUGUUAUUUCUUAACUACUAAAUUUGGUUUAGCAUACUUUAAAAGUUCUUCUUCCUUUUUAAUUCACAUGUCUCGCUUCCAUACUUUUCACUACAAAAUUUGAUACUAUUUCAGCAUUAUCUUUGUUUGUGUAGAUCUCACUAUAGCUUUCUUUUUAUUUAGUGUUCUUUGAUCUAACAGCAAGCGGAAUUCAUUAGUUUUAUAGAUUAUAUUUUGAAUUCUACCUUUGAAAUCACUGUAGCAUUAGGCUUUUUUUCUCUUUUCCUUGUUGGUCAUCACCCUGUUGUUGAUUUACACUUGAGCAUUAGGGCCUGAUUUGCUACAUUUAUUGUUUUUGUUUUUUCCUUAUAUCAGUUUCUUGUUGCUUUUGUCGUGAAAAAUUCCUGAAGCUCCUAUUGAUAAAAAAUAUCAAAAAGGAACAAAGUAUAUGUUAUACAGUUUUCUUAUUCCGUUGAGAGGUACCACGAAUAUGUUAGCAUUAUCAUGAUGGCAUAAUGCUAAUUUUGAUGUUCUGCUGCGAAUUUGUCGCUUUCUUGUCGCAUAAGGUGUUGCAAAAAUCCAUUUUUGAUAUCCUUUGUAGAAAAAAUUUCUAUUUUCAAAUGUUGUCUCAUGCGAAUAAGUUACUUGCCUUUUCUUUCUUCCUUUUUACCCUAUUUUUCUCUAAGUUAUGAAAAGUUGAAUAUUGUUGAAUCUUGGUCACAAGUUAAUAACCCUUAUAAUGUGAAAUCUUCAUGAUCUAUAAGUUUUUUGGGUUGCGGUUUGCCUAUGUUCCUAUCCGUUAUCUAUCCUUCCCUCUGCCUAUUCAUUGAUUUUUCUUAAAAUCGUUCAGUUCAUAUCUUUAUGCAUAUUAAAAUGCCCUUUGCCUUAAAGUAAUUUUACUUAACUUUAUUUUCUUGAAAUCAUGAGAGUUUACUAUUUCAUUCUUUCCAUUUAAUUGGACUUCUUUGUUUGUUGUAUUGUUCUCUUCAAGUCCACGAAUCAAUUUUUUUUUUUACGUUUGUGUGAAUAUUCCUUAUAGUCUUUUAAUAUGAUUACUCGUUAAUUUAUAGCGUAUUAAUUCCUUCACCCUUUUCUUUGCAUGAACCUGCUUGAGAAUUCAAAUGGACUUUUUUCUCUCUUUGCAUCUUCGCUAUGGGCCAUUGAGGCCCACUUUUAGAAGACUUUAAGAGGUGGCUCAAUAGUGUAAGAUGUGGAAGGCAAAUGCGAGAAGAUGGAAACCCAUUAGCAAAAUAGCUAAGAGACUUGAAAGUCUCAUUUGUUUUGUAUUAAUUUAUUGUUAUCUUUUAUUUAUUUAUUUAUUUAUUUAUUAUUCAUUCAUUCAUUAGGGCCUCAAAGCCAAAGUUUUAAACUUAAUUUAUUGUUAUCUUUUAUUUAUUUAUUUAUUUAUUUAUUUAUUUAUUAUUCAUUCAUUCAUUAGGGCCUCAAAGCCAAAGUUUUAAACUUAAUACAGGUGAGUGAACUUUGAGCCAAAAGGGCUCGAAAACUAGAUUAGGACAGGUGAAAUGGGUCGAAAGCCCAAUUAGACUAGGACAGAUUUUGUUGGUUUGAGCGGAUGGCCUGAAUCCUUUACCCUCUCCUCAUUUUUCCCUUUUAUGUGUUUAUUUGUUUAUCAGUUUCAUUUAGACUUUGUUAAAAUCCCUACUAAGUCGCCUAAAUCUAUUUUACAAAAGUAUUUUCUAAAUAAUCAAUCACUUUUCAAUAAAUUAAAUUUUUAGAAGUUAAACAAAAGAUGUUUUCAAACAGUUCGGAUAACCGCAAGUUAGCGGACGUUUUAGGUGUCUAACACCUUCCUAAAACGUUAAUAACAACCGCUCACUCAGAAUUUCUAACUUAAACGAUUUUUCUGUUCUGAAUCGUCUAAGUACAUUACAAAGGUUUCUUAAUUCCUUUUCAAAAUUAAGUGGCGACUCUCAAAAAGUCAAAAUUUUUCUGCAAAAUAAUGAUGACUUUUAGUUUUUUAAUUUUUGUAUGGAUUGUACUUUGAAUUUAGACAUUUUGUUGUUUGAAACUAUUGUUGUAGUUUUUUCAUACUAACUUUUGUUGGACAUUUUGUAUGUGUUGUACACUUUUGAAAGUAUUUGCAUUUGGUAUUUGGUUGUUGUUGCUGCUGUAUUUGAUUUGGUUACUACUGUAUUGGAUUGUUGUUGUUGCAUGCUGUAUUUGAGUUUUGAUUUUUCUUUUUUUAAAAUUUCCCAGAAAAACCGACCACAAGUGGUCCGUUUUUGAAUUUUUUUCCAGAAAAUCGACCACAAGUGGUCGGUUUUAUAUUAAAUUUAAUUAAUUAAUUUAAUAAAAAUUGACUACUUGUGGUCGAUUUUUUAAUAAAUUAAUUAAUUAAUUUAAUAAAAAACCGAUCACUUGUGGUCGUUUUUUCCUAAAAUUAUUUUUUCCAAUUUUAGUAAAAUAAUAAUGAAUUUUAAAAAAAAAAUAUAUUUUUUAAAAAAUCGAUCAUUUUAAAGAACUACUCAUUUUAAAGAACUACCACUACUUUACGGAUCACACAUUUUGAUCGAUUUUAUGGUCGGAAAUAGGGGAAAACCGACCACAUGUGGUCAAUUUUUGUGGUCGGUUUUCUCUCUGGUUUUUUUUUUUUAGUAGUGAUUGAUUAAAAACCACCAAGAUCCAUUUACCAAAAUAUACUCAUGACACAAUUAAAUUUGCUUUUCCUAUGUGGCCAUCUUAAGCUCUUGAUAAGUGCCAAUGAAUUGUUAACAACUAACGGCAUAUACACUUAAGAGGAAAAGAAAAAGGUUGAGUGGAGAUCACUUUGCUUUCAUUAAUUAAUCUUUCAUUUCAUGCAUUCCAUGGAAGAAGACACCAUUAUUGUUUUAUAUUCAGUCUGAAAAUCCAACUAUAAGCAAAUUAAUUGCUUUAAAGGGAAACAUGUUGGUGGACAUUCUCCAUUACUGUUUUAUUUGCUUUAUACACAUACUUUUUUUGCUUCAUAUAUGUUUUACUUGAGUCGAGAGUUUAUCCGAGACAACCUUUCUACCUAGCUUCUCAAUGUAGGGAUAAGACUGUUUACAUACUACUCUCUUCAGCCCAACUUAUUAGAUUACACUAGAUAUAUUGUUGACGGUGGUGGUGUUGAUGUUGAUGGACAUUGUCAAAAGUGAAGAGGAAAAGAAGGAAUAGCUUUCUAGAAGAAAAAAAAUUAAAACAAGGAUUAACUUUAGGUUGACCUUCAUAGUUUAAAAAGCUUAUCAACUGAUACAUCACCAACUUUUACAGCCACAAGACAAUUAGGAAGGCAUAAAUUAUUUUAUGGCUUACUGUUGUUUUGUGAAGGGACAUUUUAUAUCAGUGGAGGUAUAUUUAUUUAAGUUGAAUCAGGUGUAGCUUUCAUUGUCGACGCCUUCAUGAACUUAUUUAAUUUGAUACAAUACUAUUGUUUGUGAACAUUACUUUAGGCGCUUAAAAAAACACAAUUUGUGCAACAAGAGGUAAGUAGAGAAAAUUGAUGGAAAGGUGUCAUUUAAGUUCUGGAUGAAGGAUUUGUGACAUUGACCAACUUAAAGGGUCAAACAUAAUUAUAAAACUUGAUUAAGUUAAUUGUGGACUUGAUUAAUAUUUUCAAAACUUUCUAAUCUUUUAAAAAAUACAAAUCAACCCACACCCUUCUCCUCUCCAAAUCAACCGUUUCUCCUCUCUCUCGACAGUUUCUCCCAACCAACAGUUCUACAAAUUUCUUCUUUCAAUUCCCGGCGACUUCAACCUCCGACGAAAAAUAGUUGGGCUUUGAGUUCCUUUUUGACUUUCAACCGUCAAUCAACGUGACUGCCUUGCUCUCCGUCCACAACAACUUCAAGUUCUUUAAUUAUCCUUUUUCUUCUUUCACAGGUAAAAAAUUAUUGCCUUUUUAGUUUUGAAGAAAAAGAGGAACUUGAGCCAACUUUUGUUUUAGUAUUGGUG
rnacentral:lncRNA from 1 species